AUAGAUAAGGAAGAGAGAAAUAGUAGUCACAGGAAUUGAGAGGCUGCUGGAGAAAAGCUUUACCCACUGUGGGCAACUUUCAGAGUACUUGAUGUUUAUUCUGUUGGGAUUCCCCCCCGCCCCUUAAUCUCUCUUCCAUUUCUUCUUAGAAUCUUUGAUUCUCAUUUUCUUCAAAUGGACUGUAAACAAUUUUCUCUUGUCUUAGCAUAGCAAUGCCUUUUGGUCCCCCAAAUCUCUCUCUGUCUGCAUCCAUUUUCUGGCUCUGCUGGUGGUACUGUUUUGCCUGGUGAUGGAUGUAUGACUAAACUAUAUGCUACAUUGUCUGUCACCUAGAACACCAUUGAUGUUGGGCUGUGCUCUGAGCAUUAAUUAGAUAACCUUAGCUCUUCUUUUUUAGUGUCCACAUUACAUGUUUAAUUCAUAUUCUAUGAGUUUUUAAUGUCACUCUUAGCUUAAGGAAAAUGCACCUUUAUCUAAACUCACCAUCAAUGAGUUUCAGUAGAAGUAAUAUUUUAUUGCAUGUAUUACCAUAAUUUGCCUUAUUAUUUCUUUGGGAAAUUUAUAUAUUUUUAGUGUUAUAAACCACAUUGCAGAGUGAUAUGUUUGUAGAUAGUGUGAGAAGAUGAACUUAAUCUUGGGAACUUUGAAGACUAUAAUGAGGUGUAUAGACAUUAUCUCUUUGUCUUCUAUGCCAAAGAUAGUAUGAUUUGCUUGUGUUGGUAAUCUUGAGUCCUUCCAUGUUGGUGCAGAGAAAGCUUUCAUAGCCCCCUAGAGGCCUAGAUUGUGGCCAUAGCACAGCACAUUUCCACAGUCCUCUUGCACUUCACAGUGAUACUACUGCAGUGGAUAGUCUCACGUCCCUGCCAUUGCGUGGAGGGACAGCCAUAUUUACAGGAUAAAUAAUGAUGGCAGCGGUUGGGUGGGAGGGUCAGAGACUGAAUGAGUCUGUAGUCUUGGUGGGCAUUGCCAGGUUGUGUUCCUUAGGAAUGGCUUUGCUUUGUUCUUCCCCCAGCAAUAUGUGGAAGUGCCCGUUUCCUUACUCCUGACAAUGGACUCGUGUGGCAACGCUUUACGUUCUCCCAUGCCUCGCCAGCCCCAUGUGAAGUUCUGACCAUCAGCUGCUCUAAAUAUUCCUUUGACGUUUAACUGCAAACUGAAGGGUGUUCCAGCUGCUGCCCCUGCCAAGUUCUGCCUGGAGCUUGGGGAAGACGAUGUAUUUAUGAGGAUUUGCAUCUCAUUCUUCUGAAUCAGCCAGGUUAAUUGCAAAAUAUUUAAAGUUUUGACAAUUGUGUGUUCCCCUUGACUUCCUCUACUUUAAUAAUCAGCAAAAGAGCCAAGUUAGCUGUUUUGUAUUUUAGAAUCCAAAUUAUUGUCCAUGUGUUAAUGGAUGAGACAAAAUUAAAGAAUUGUUUGCC